rnacentral:lncRNA from 1 species
GGCGCUGCAGUUUUUUGGGUCCAAUGAGUGGAAGAACUUAAAGAGAUUAGGAGUUUAAUGCUUGGCUGUCUUGAUCUGCUUUUCGCUGGUGUUGGGUGUUUAGUUCUGGUUGGUCCAUGAUCAAUGGAGGUGUGGACUCUUUGUCCUUUUUUAUCUUAUGUGUUAGAACAAUAGAAGCUGGCUGCAGACAUCUGGAAGGAGUGACUCUACACUGUUGAGGUUCCUGGUGAAGUUCUAGAAGGCUAUGGAGGUGGAAUCAGUUGGUUGAUUUUGUUUCAGUUAGCUGAUUGGAUGUGGCUUA